CGAGUGCACCGAAUCCCGCGCAAAUGAUUCGAACAAGUGAUUUGACCGUUUCGUUUUCGAGUUCGAAAUUUUGCUUGCAUGUGCAAAUUUUAAUUUCGUGAAUUUUGACUUCGUAAAUUCAUAUUCAAGAAAGACUCAAAUUAAAUGAUGAAUCAUGGCAAUAUUCAUCAAUUUUUUUCAACUGUUGGAAUCCGAUAAUCAAACCGAUCAACUGGAUUUAUUUCUAAAGUUAAACAACCACUUUUCAAGGCUGGAAAGGUAUUGUUUUAUCAUCAUCUUUCCUAAUAACCUCAUAGAACAUAAUGAAACCUGUUCCAAUUUUGAUAAAUGAAUAAUCAAAAAUUUAUUCUAAAUGACUGAUCGAUGAUCAUAUCAGGGUCACAUUGAGACUUAAUUGACGACCAUUUCAAUGAAACGAAUUAAACAAAGGCUUGAAACUUCAAAUUGAUUCGAAUGCUUUAACGACUAAAUCAAUUGAUAAAGACCUAAUCAAUCGAUGAUCAUUUUUACCGAAAAACUACAACGGCGAAUUCUGGCCAUUCUCAUUGUUGGUGCUCUCUCAAAAUGCCGAAAAAAAAUCCCGAAAAAAACCCUCAUUGUUUCCUAUGAGCAUAACAUUUCGUUAGCAAGGUAAUCUGGCAUUUCUUAAUUGAGUUUUAGAAUUUUGAUUACCGAAUUUGAGCAAUUUAAUUCCCUUGCCCAAGAUUCAUUUAUAUUGGCCGAAAUCAUCGAAAUUGACAGUCAAAGAAAAAGUAUUUAUUUUCUCAAAGUUUAUAUUGAACGAAUAAUGGCUCUUUAUCCAAUCGGUGAAUUACAUUCCAUCAAUCUACUCUUCUAACUUGAUCCAAUUUAUCACGACCGAGUAGAAUUAUUGUGAACACGAGUGCCUCAUUCAUCGUUCAUCAUUGCUCGCAUGAAGAUGAAUCAUUUCUAAUUUUCGUCGUUCUGGUUAAUGGAUCUGGAUAUUCAAAUGAAUCUUUUUCAAGCUCAAAUGAUGGUAAAUUUCUUUAUUUUAACAACAACCCUUCUAAUUCUCAUUUUUCAAUCUGAGCAAUGAACUUUGACAAACCAUGCCAAUUCGGAAGAAAUUUCUUUACGAAAAACAUCAAGUCAAAACUGAAGAUAUGAAUGUUGAAUUGUCAUGAAUUUUUACCGAAAGACUUUGAAAGGCAACAUUAACAACUUUCGUAAGGAAAUUCUUAAGAAUUAAAAUUAUUGAUUGGCGACCAAGUACAAUCAUUGUCAACACGAAAAUCAAUCAAUAGGAUGGAUUCAAUUUUCAUCGUUUUGAUCAAUGGUUCGAAUGAAUCUUCAAUUGAUGAUCAUAACUCUCUCCAACGUUGAAAAUAAUUGAAAAUUCAAAAUCAAUUGAUCGAAUUUCAGUCAACUCGGAUUAUCAAUCGAUUAUUCAUUGAAAAUCCACACUCGCAAAUUUUAGCCAUUCCCGAUUUUUCAUUUCAGAAACUUGAUUACCAAAUUUGAAAAAUAUGAUUUCUUGACUCAAGAUUCGCUGAAUGAAAUACCUCGAGAUUGUUACGAAGAAAAAACUCGUGAAAUAAUUAAUAUUGAGCCAUUAUAAUCAAGUGUAUUCCAUCAAUAUUCUUAUCUAUCAAUCAUUCCGAUUUCUCAUAAUGAUAAUUGUUGUCAACAAAAGGUUUUUAGUCAAAACUCUGAAGAUGUAAAAUUAUCAUCAAGAAAUUCAAAGGCAUGUUUUGAACUUGGUCUCUUUUGAACGUUUUGAUUCAAUGAUGCUACUUUUCAAGACAGAGAUGAACAUUAUGAUUAGUCGAAACAUAUGCGUACAUAACUUGACUUAUUUAUUUAUUGACUGUUAUCUCGACUUGCCAAUUUGAACUCGGCCACUUGUUGACAUGUUUGAUUCUUGACAUCCACUUUGACUUGGCCACUUUGACUUAUUCACUUGAUUGAUUUUUGUACCAAUCGACUUUUCAUCAAAAUGCUCAUCUCUGUCUCGAAAUGUUCAAUCAAUGAAUCAUAAUUAUUGAUUGACGAUCAAGUUCAAUCUUUGCCACAUUCAUCCGUCACACACAUUGGCUACAUGAAAAUAAAUCAUUUCGAUGGAUUCGAAUUCUCAUCGCUCUGAUCAAAGGAUCUGGAUAUUCAGGCGAAUCUUUAAAUUAAUGAUCGUAACUUGGGAAUAAUGAAAAUCAUAGAUGAGCACAACAUUCUGGAUGAAUGACAUUAACAAGUGCACGAUCGCCGAAUGAUCAAUCAGUCAAAGUCAAUCUGGCCAUCUCAACUUUUCUUCAUCAUCAUUUACCAGAAUAUGGAUAACCGAGUGAAGACCCUUGAAAUAAAUGCAUCCAUUGGAUUAUCCAAAUUCUCUGGCUUCAUUUUAUAAUUUAUCUCAAAAAUUCGACCGUUUCAUCAAUUUGUGGCUUUUAAUUUGAAUUUGUGUCAGAGAAUUGUCAUGAUUUUGAUCAAUUAAUGAUCAUAACUAUAAAAUAUUGAACAUCAUCAUAGAGGAAUACAACAUUCUGGAUUAAUGACAUCAAUAAAUGUUCCUGCAAGAUCGCCGAAUCAUCAAUAAGUCAAUCUGGCCAUUUGUCUGACCAUCUCCACUUUUCAUCACCAUCAUUUCUGAGGAUAUGGAUAAUCGAAUGGAGAUUCUCGAAAUAAAUGCCUCGAUUGGAUUAUCAGAAUUCAGAUGAUAUUUUGGUAGCCAGCACCAAUGAAAAUGAACAUAAAGAGCAUCUUAAAAUGGUUUUCGACCGAUUACAACAAAACGGUAUCACAAUCAAUGUAAACAAAUGCAAAUUACAUUGAUUGUACCUCAAAAUUCGACCGUUUUAUCAAUUUGAAACUUUUAAUUUGAAUUUUUAUUUUUUAUUUUAUCUUAUAAUAAUUUUUUAAUUUCCGGAUUUAUUCCGAAAAUCAAUAAAACAAUCGUUUAAUGAAACAAUCAAAAAAAAUCUGCAUACUAUCGAUUGUCAUGAAAGUCACGUGAUUUGUUGAAACUAAAAACAAUCGAAAAAAAUUGCGAUACCAUCGGCUAAGUCGCCCAAAGCGACUCACCUGAUUUUUUGAGAAUUCUGACCGUUCAUUUCUAUGCUUCCAACAUUGUUACUUUGGCUGUACAAAUUUUCUCUCAUUUUUUUCGUAACUAUUUUCUAUGCUUCUUGUUCACUCCUCAGUUUCG